rnacentral:rRNA from 1 species
UACGUAGGGACCAAGCGUUGUUCGGAUUUACUGGGCGUAAAGGGCGCGUAGGCGGCGUGGCAAGUCGUGUGUGAAAUCUCCGAGCUUAACUCGGAACGGUCAGAUGAUACUGCUGUGCUAGAGUACAGAAAGGGCAAUCGGAAUUCUUGGUGUAGCGGUGAAAUGCGUAGAUAUCAAGAGGAACACCUGAGGCGAAGGCGGGUUGCUAGGCUGAUACUGACGCUGAAGCGCGAAAGCUAGGGUAGCAAACGGG